ensembl:lncRNA
GAGACAGAGCAGAAUUAUGCUCUUUGGUUUUUAUUGACAUCCACUUUCCUUUGUUGUUUUUUCUCUUUAUGCAAAUGGUGAACAGUUGACCCACAUUCAAAAGAGGUGUCACUCUAUAAUCGAUGAUGAACAGCAGUAUGUUAUCCUGGGAAAGAAAUGCACUGUAAAAAAAAAAUGUUGUUGAGUUGCCUAAAAAUGUGCUUCGUUUGUUAGCAUCUAAAUUUACUGGUUUUAUUCAGGUCAACAUUUUUGUAUUUAACAGGACUGAAUCAACCUGACUACAUUAGGUUACUCCAAUGAAAGCAAGUGGGUCAGACCAGGAAGAAAUGUGUCUAUAAAAUAACAACUGCACGUUUUCCUGCUUUUUACAGUGUGUAUUUUGGCUCAGUGAGAAGGAAUGGUACAUUUAAUAGAUAGCCCACCUCUACAGACAGCAUUCCCAAGCUUUGCAAAAUCAUGCGCUUCCUCGGACUCAGGUGUUACAUGACAGAACUGAUGUGUUCCCUUCCAUAGGAUCAUGGAAAACAGUUUGGUGGGUCAGAUAGCGACGGGAACUUCAGUGAAGACGUGUUGUUUCAGGGACUCUAAAAUCCAAGUGACAGAUUCUGCUCUGGAAGAGAUUGUGACUGAACAACUUAACAAAAAGAUGUCAAUUCUACAGAGAUCUGAGACCUCUGGGUUUAUUUCUUUGCUUUAGUCCGUAUGAGACAUUACUUGUUUACAUGUCCUGGUUUUUUUGACCUUGCUGUGAGGUAUAUAUCAGCUUUUGCACUGUAUUCUUUGGCUUGUUGUCUUCCCUCUACUCUCUGUUUCCUCUCAAACAGCCCAUUAACCUGAGCACCAAAGUCAUUCACCGUCUUCCUCAACCCAAAGCAGAGAACCAAUGCAAACUGUAGUCUGCUUAUAGUCUAUUGUCAGAACAAGGAAACUCAAGCGCAUGUAUCUGCCAUUUGUUCCUCCAGCCGAAACAUCCUUCAAAUCUACACUGGUCGUCUGCUCUAGAUAUUAGGGCAGGUGUAAGACCAGCUAUGCAGCUCACCUGUGUCUGCACAGUUCCCUUGAACUUCAUUCAAACACAGUCAAGCCAAUGGAAACAACAAACUUAUCUUGGCAAUUGCUUUUCCCAACUAAAAAAAGGAAAAAAACGAACUCCUGCC